rnacentral:rRNA from 1 species
AUUGAACGCUGGCGGCAGGCUUAACACAUGCAAGUCGAACGAGUGGCGGCCGGGUGAGUAAUGCUUGGGAAUCUAGCUUAUGGAGGGGGAUAACUACGGGAAACUGUAGCUAAUACCGCGUACCAUAGGAUGAGCCCACGUGGGAUUAGGUAGUUGGUUGUGUAAAGGCUCACCAAGCCGACGAUCUCUAGCUGGUCUGCGAGGAUGACCAGCCACACUGGGACUGAGACACGGCCCAGACUCCGACGGUAGGCAGAAUGGGGGAAUAUGGCGCAAUGGGGGCAACCUGACGCAGCCAUGCCGCGUGAAUGAAGAAGGCCUUCGGGUUGUAAAGUUCUUUCGGUAGCGAGGCGUUAACUACAGAAGAAGCACCGGCUAACUCCGUGCCAGCCGCCGCGGUAAUAC